CGGGGAGCAGCCCAGAGUCUGAAUCAGCUUGUGUGUUAGUGGAACGGUCUGGAAAGUCCGACGGUACAGGGUGAUAGUCCCGUACACCAAAAUGCACAGGUUGUGAACUCGAAGAGUAGGGCGGGACACGUGGUAUCCUGUCUGAAUAUGGGGGGACCAUCCUCCAAGGCUAAAUACUCCUGACUGACCGAUAGUGAACCAGUACCGUGAGGGAAAGGCGAAAAGAACCCCGGCGAGGGGAGUGAAAAAGAACCUGAAACCGUGUACGUACAAGCAGUGGGAGCACCUUCGGGUGUGACUGCGUACCUUUUGUAUAAUGGGUCAGCGACUUAUA
rnacentral:rRNA from 1 species